GAUGAACGCUAGCUACAGGCUUAACACAUGCAAGUCGCGGGGCAUCAUGGAGGUUGCUUGCAAUUUCUGAUGGCGACCGGCGCACGGGUGAGUAACGCGUAUCCAACCUUCCCAUUACUACGGCAUACCCCGUUGAAAGGCGGCCUAAUUCCGUAUGCAGUCCGAAGCAGUCAUCUAAUUUGGACGAAAGGUAUAUUCUAUCGGUAAUGGAUGGGGAUGCGUCCGAUUAGCCAGCCGGCGGGGUAACGGCCCACCGGGGCAUUGAUCGGUAGGGGUUCUGAGAGGAAGGUCCCCCACACUGGAACUGAGACACGGUCCAGACUCCUACGGGAGGCAGCAGUGAGGAAUAUUGGUCAAUGGGCGUAAGCCUGAACCAGCCAAGUAGCGUGCAGGAUGACGGCCUUAUGGGUUGUAAACUGCUUUUAUGCGGGGAUAAAGUUGGGGACGUGUCCCUUUUUGCAGGUACCGCAUGAAUAAGGACCGGCUAAUUCCGUGCCAGCAGCCGCGGUAAUACGGAAGGUCCGGGCGUUAUCCGGAUUUAUUGGGUUUAAAGGGAGCGUAGGCAGUUUUUUAAGCGUGCUGUGAAAUGUACCGGCUCAACCGGUGAUGUGCAGCGCGAACUGGGAAUCUUGAGUACGCAGUAAGCAGGCGGAAUUCGUGGUGUAGCGGUGAAAUGCUUAGAUAUCACGAAGAACUCCGAUUGCGUAGGCAGCUUGCUGUAGCGUAACUGACGCUGAAGCUCGAAAGUGCGGGUAUCGAACAGG
rnacentral:rRNA from 1 species